CCUACGGGCGGCUGCAGUGGGGAAUAUUGGACAAUGGGGGCAACCCUGAUCCAGCCAUGCCGCGUGUGUGAAGAAGGCCCUCGGGUUGUAAAGCACUUUCAGUGAGGAAGAACGCCUGGUGGUUAAUACCCAUCAGGAAAGACAUCACUCACAGAAGAAGCACCGGCUAACUCCGUGCCAGCAGCCGCGGUAAUACGGAGGGUGCGAGCGUUAAUCGGAAUUACUGGGCGUAAAGCGCGCGUAGGUGGCUUGAUAAGCCGGUUGUGAAAGCCCCGGGCUCAACCUGGGAACGGCAUCCGGAACUGUCAGGCUAGAGUGCAGGAGAGGAAGGUAGAAUUCCCGGUGUAGCGGUGAAAUGCGUAGAGAUCGGGAGGAAUACCAGUGGCGAAGGCGGCCUUCUGGACUGACACUGACACUGAGGUGCGAAAGCGUGGGUAGCAAACAGGAUUAGAUACCCUGGUAGUC
rnacentral:rRNA from 1 species